GCGGGUGCAAGGAGUUGGAAAGCAGCCUCAACAGACGGGAAGGGGUGGCCUUCAGGGUAGCCAAAGGACAGACUGCGUCUCAAGGUCUCACCAAAGCAGGGUUGCCAAGUGUUUGGGUGCCAACUGAAAUCUGAAAGCAAAUGGCAUGCUUGGCCAGAUAUUUAGGCAACCAGAAGAACCUCAGACUGUGAGUGGAAGAAGGAAAGGGUUGGAGAUCUGAUUCCAGAAGACCAGGUUCAAAUCCUCAUUGAGAGCGAGAUAAGGUGGAAUUCCCUUAUGAUAUGAACAAAGAUAAACAAGAAGACCAAAUCUGGUUUUAUCACUAUGUACGGUAUGUAACAUUUAUGGUCUGAUGGAAAUAUAAUAGAACCUGAUAAACAAAAUCAAGUGUGUUAAUGUAAUGUUAGUAUUCACUUAUACACAAUCAUACAAGAUACAAGAAUGGGAUGUCUUUGUCUUACUACUGUUCAGCUAAUGUUAUGGUCUGAUGGAAAUAUAAUGUUGUGAGUAUGGAUGAAUUAAUUGUUAUGGUUUGCAAAGGCACUGUGCUAUGUGUGUUAACUGGAAAAUGAAGAGCACAAAGCCAAUUGGCUAAGCCUGCAAAGACCUGGGGAUUGAUUUGAUACUGGUCAUGUGAUGUCUUAGGGACCCUUGAUCCAUGACCCUGCAGCCAUCAUAGAUCAAACUGAAGAGGAUAUGGGUUUUUUCCCAUCUCAGCAAGAUUCUGUUCCAUUCCAGAUGUCCCCUGUUGACAUUUUGGUGCCAAAGCUAAUUAUGGAAGCCCUUGAAACAGAGCCUGGUUCCCCGGAAAGUGUUGUGUUUGAUAGGAAGUCUUUUCUCAAAACACAUCGCUCCCAUAAGAAGUUUCUGAGACGAAGUGCGAGAUUAGCGGAGAGAGAGGAUUGUAAUUAAACCAUUUCUCUUGGGAAGCUUAAGGGAAGCUUACAUCUGGCAGGUUGUUGUCAUCAGUCCGUUCCCUUGGGAAAAUGUGGACUCAAACACCUGGUUCGGGGAGUUUUGAACUUCCAUAAAAGUUCUGGGCAAAGGCUACCCGUCGCGGUGUCAACGUGACAGUUGGAAAGUUAACAUCGACUCUUGUUCCUGUGAAUCUCAGCGGCCUGACGGUGCGCUACUCGUGAAUAGACCGGGAGUUGCGUCCUGUUUCCCUGCCAAGACUGGACUGCGUUUCGGUUCCACCACGACCAACCUUGCCUUGCCUUGCUUCCUUGCCUUGCCUUGAUUCCCUGCAUUGGACAUUGAACCUGGAACUUUCUUGAGAGACCUUGCUUUAUUCCCCACUCAAACUGCUUGAAAGUUUGAGUGUGUUUCGGUUUGGAUUUAAAAACUUGAUCUCUAAUGCUGGACAUUAAACUUUAUAUUACUGGACUAUAUUUGACCUUUCCUAAAAGGACUAUUGCUGGACUAUAUACUCUGCCUAUUUUUGUUUGAUUCCUUUAUUGCUUUAAUAAAGAUAUUAGAUUGUU